UAUUCAUUCACCUACUGAAGGAUAUCUUGGUUACUUUGAAUUUUUAGAAAUUUUCAAAAAUGCUACUACAGAUUUUUGUGUGACAUAAGUUUUCAUCUUCUUUCAGUAAAUGCCAGAAAGUUCAAUUGUGGGAUUAUAUGAUGAACUUCAUGAGAGAGAUUGUAAAAGAUAAAUGGAUUCGCAUUUAGGUAUUCAGAGGAUAAUACACCAACCCAAGUAAGAGAGGUCUGUGAAGCUGUUUUGUUGGUGGUGGGUAAAUUUACCAUUACUAGCCGCCAAGUGAUAGAGUCUGUGAUUCCUCCAUUGCCUCUCAGCUGGAGAAAACUGAAAAUGCAACUUCAUAAUAUCCCUCCACUCAAUGUUGUCAAAGACACUUACAAACUCUCAGUUACUACUUAAGCUUUAAAAGUGCAAAAGCAAUUUCAUUUUGGGGCUUUGCACCUCUUUUCCAGCUGACUCUUUAAAAGCCUGUUUCUUCCCGAGGCAGGUGUCUUGUUGCGGCAUUUCACAUUUAUACUGUGGUAGAUCUUUGAAACUGGAUCUGUGCACUUUUCUCUCUUACCAUGAGCCCUCUGACCUCUGCAGCAUUUUUCCUUUCUUGGAACUCUUGCAAAAACAGGAGUGAUUGACUUUCAAAAUUCAGGUUAUCCAAUUUGCUUAUUUUAAUCCUAUGACAAAAUUAUGGCUACAAUAGGAAACUUUAUUCAAGAUAUAUCAGCCAGAAUUCUAAAGAAAAGUUGUUCUUCAUUUAAUUCUUUCCUUUAAGGAAACUUUAUUUAAGAUGUAACGGCCGGGCACGGUGUCUCAAGCCUGUAAUCCCAGCACUUUGGGAGGCCGAGGAGGGUGGAUCACGAGGUUGCGGUGAGCGGAGAUAGCGCCAUUGCACUCCAGCCUGGGUAACAAGAGCCAACCUCCGUCUCAAAAAAAAAAAAGAUGUAUCAGCCAGGAUUCUAAAGGAAAGUUGGUCUUCAUAGAAUGCUUUUAAAGUCUUGGAAGGUAUCUAAUCGCCACAAACAACCUUUGAUUUAGAUGUCAUUUUAUUUUUCUGAGUCCCAAGGUCAACUUAGUAGGCCUUCAAAGCAUAUUAAUCUUGAAUAGGAUCAAUAAGAAUAAAUGUCAUUUUUAUCAGGCUGAAAAAAAUAUGGAUUCUCUUGUAG
ensembl:lncRNA